UCUGCUGUAGCUCGGUGGUAGAGCGUCCGACCGGUGUGCGAAGGUCAUAGGUUCGAUUUCUGUAGGUAAAA